rnacentral:rRNA from 1 species
UACGAAGGGGGCUAGCGUUGCUCGGAAUUACUGGGCGUAAAGGGAGCGUAGGCGGACAUUUAAGUCAGGGGUGAAAUCCCGGGGCUCAACCUCGGAAUUGCCUUUGAUACUGGGUGUCUUGAGUAUGAGAGAGGUGUGUGGAACUCCGAGUGUAGAGGUGAAAUUCGUAGAUAUUCGGAAGAACACCAGUGGCGAAGGCGACACACUGGCUCAUUACUGACGCUGAGGCUCGAAAGCGUGGGGAGCAAACAGGAUUAGAUACCCGGGUAGUCCCUGA